AAGACAGGCAUCAGUUUAUAUCCUUAUAUAGAGCCUUAACUAUUUUCAACUAUCUAUAACGAAAUUCAUGUUUGGAAAGGAAGUGGUUUGCUCUAGGGAAACAUAUGGGUGAGGGUUCUGAAAGUGAUUAUCUCCCAUUUUUAACUUUAGCUUCUAGCUGUGUGCAUUUGGAGAAAGUUUUCCUCGAUUCCCACUGAAAGAUAUAUAUCUGCUCUAUUUUUCCAUUCACCUUAAGGGAAUCAUAGCUUAGACAACUGCUGCCAAAAUAGCCCAGUGUUAGGGUAGGAAUUGGGGAGAGUUUUUCCCUGGUGGCUCAGUUGGUAAAGAAUCCAUCUGCAAUGCAGGAGACCCAGGUUCAAUCCUUGGGAGGGGAAGAUCCCCUGGAAAAGGAAAUGGCAACCCACUCCGGUAUUCUUGACUGGGAAAUCCCAUGGAGAGAGGAUCCUGGUGGGCUAUACAGUCCACGGGGUUGCAAAGAGUCGGACAAGACCUUAGCAACUAAACUAUCACCGCCACCACCUUAGGCACUAAAAAUGUACUGGUUAAUUCGUUUAUGUCACAAUAUCAGAAAGUAAGGACUCUUAUCAGGAUCCCAAUUUACAGAUGAAGAAAUUAAGGCACAGAGAGGUUGAGUAACUUGCUUAAGGACACACAGACUUAAGUGGCAGAGUUGAGAUUUGGACCAGGUGGGCUCAGUUUAAAGUCCAUGCCCUAACACCCUGCUACAUCUUAAUUAUUAACUCUCGCUAUGGAGAUAAAAGUAGAUUCAUUUUCUUAGGAAAAGAAGAUUGUCCAAUACCUUUUUGUACACACUUCCAGCAAGGGGGCUUCUGCAGCAUGACUCUCCUGUGUCCCGGUGAUGCUUGGAGCAUACGCUUAUGAACACCAUUGAACUACAAGUACGCCUUCACAACAAAUGUUUUUCUUGUCUAUACCCAUGCAACCAAAUACAUCUAAAGAACUUGAUUACUUGGUAGUUGUGAGAUGAACUGCACAGAGGGAAGCUUUUUGCUCUGGAUGCUCAUCAAAUAGGAUCAAAAGUGAAUCAUUUAAUAGAUUAUUAAAGAGUUAAAUUCUUUGAACUCAUCUCGAGAUCCCUGUGGUGAAAGGUACUAAUUACAAUGCAAAAACAGCCAAAUAUUGAUUAGAAAAUGCUAUGAACUAAGUGCCCAGGAAGUCCUUUUCUGCUUACUGGAUUUAAAACACAUUUUUCUACUUGAAAUUUGUUACAGAGAAACAGGAAAUCAUCUCCAUUCCCCAUCUUAUUUUGGCAAAGAGACAAAGGAAUCUAUGAGGACACUACCAUGAUGGGCGAUCAGAGAGGAACUAAUACCUGCCCUGACACUAGGUAUCGAUGCCCUAGCAGUGACUGACCAACUGCUGGCUUCGCAGCAAUCCAGAUGGAGAUGACCAGUAAGUGACAGACUUGUUACUUUCAGCAAGCAAGCCUGUUAUUUCACACAUGACUUCCUUUGAGUAAAUGUGAGUUUUCACUCUACAUACCUGGCCAGAAAUCAAGUGGUUUUACAAGAGAGACGUGGGAUAUCAGGCAUUGGAUUGUGAUACUCAUAUCUUAUAUAAAUGAGCAUACUAUGGUCCUUGGGGGCUGCAGAAUAGUCCAAGACUCCUUCAUAAUCAAUCACACCACCAUCAAGGCAAUAGACAGGGCAGGUUGGGAGCAUGUCUUCCAUUACCACUGAUGGAUGACUUUCACCUUUCUGUGGAAGAGUAGUUCUGACUCUUCAUGAAUCACAGAGGACAUACUUAAAAUGCCCAGCUGUGGCCCUGAACAGUCAAAAAUAUUUUCAUACAUCUCUACAGGCACCAAAUAGUUUGGGCAAUGCCAAGUAAGUUACAACCCAUUUCUGUAGUUUGGGAAGGUCGUUAGAACUCAGAUUCAUUAUCUGCUGAGACUUUGCUUUGUUUUCCAUUUAUUACUCUCCUUUGAGUGAAACAGAGCUGCAGGAGCGGAACAGAGACCUCAGUUCAUUCAUCCCUGACACACUAUUCGUGUCUACCAUUUCUCCAUAAAUUUGGAGAGGAAGAGACAGAAAUUGCAAAUGCAGGGAUUUAAAUCCCCUUGGGCUACGUUUGUCAAGAUGAGCAGAUUGUAAAUUGCCUCUCGCAAAUAUGAUAAGCAUUUGGGCAUCAAGCGAAGAACCGGGAACAACAGACUCAUUCAUUUGUGUGGUGUUUCCCUCCAGAAGUUUCUAAAUGGCUUCUGUAGUCAUUAUAUAGACCUAGAAUUGAUCAGGUUUAGCAGGAAGAUUAGAGACACUACACUAUUUGGCUAAGGAAGUUGGCUUUUUCCAGUGAGAUUGAAAUGACAAUUUUUUCUGCUUAUAGCAUCACAAUCUUUACAAAGUAUGCACUUGGAAUACCUGAUUUGGGCUUUUCUGAGAAAACAAGGAGAGAUAUGUAUAAUCCUUUAAAUUGUCUUAGAGCUUUAUAGGCACAUUGAUGACAAAGAAAUCCAAAUCAUUUAGAUGCUCUCAUUCACAGUUAUGGCCCUUCUGUUGAAAAAUAACCUUUGUAUUUUACACUUUAAGUCCCUGACAGGACCCUAUCCUCUUAUCUCCUUCAACAGAAGCUAUUUUCUUUUGCUUCUUAUUUUGACCUUUAAAAAUUUCACCACAUAAGUCAUCCAUUAAUACAUUUUCAUUAUAAAAAUAUUACAAAUAACACUGGAGUUCCCUUUGAUUAUUAUGUCAAAUUCUGAAGCUCUCCCAAUCCUACUACAACCCUAUCCAUCUUUGGUCACAAGCAUCAUUAAUAGUUUUGUGUGUAUCUCUCCAGACCUUCUUCCAGGAGUGUGUGUGUGUGUGUGUGUGUGCGUAUAGUAUAUUUUUGUGUAUGCACAUGUUCUUUGAGAUAAAUAUACUGUAAGUACCAUACGACAGGUUGCUUUUUUCACACAGUGAUUCUGGAAGUCUGUUAGUACAGAGAACUGUUCCAUCUUCCUAUGGAUUGAAUGUUUAUAUCCUCCCAAAGUUAUAUGUUGAGGCCAAUGUGGUUAUAUUUGGAGGAUGGCUUUGGGGAAGUAAUUAGGUUACAAGUAAGGGUGGAGACCUCAUGAAUGAGAUUAGUGCUCUUAUAGGAAGAGACAUAAGAGAGCUUGCUUCCUCUGCCUCUUCAUUCUCUGCCAUGUAAAGAUGCAAUGAGAAGACAGCCAUCUGCAAAGCCAGAAGUGGGCUCUCACCAGGCACCAGAUCUGCCAGUACCUUGAUCUUACCCAGAGAAAUAAAUGUUUAUUGUUUAAGCCAUCUAGUCUAUGGUAUAUUUAUAACAGCAGCCCAAACAGACUAAGACACAUUCUUUCUAGUCUUUUUUAACCACUGCAUAAUAUCUCACAGUGUUGGUAGGCCAUAGUUAACAAAUAAGGGUGGUUACUAAACAGGUGGUUCUAAUUUCUCACUAUAGGCUCCCCCUGCCUGAUGAAGAGUCUUGAAAAAUCCAUUAUAGAGUGAGUUCUUCUAAGUAGAAAAGUGUAAAUUCCAUUUACUUUAAUGAAAAAAAAUGUUUAUGUACUUCUAAGCCCCUAAAUCAUGCCUAUUUAUGCUACAACACCAUUUAACAUUAACAUGGACACAAGGACUUCUAUAGUUAAUAUUAACUUGACCAGAUAUUCUCCAUCAUUAAUUAUCCUAUCAUACACCUGUUUCCAUUCUUUCAGUGUUUACAGAUUGAACACUUAAGACUUUGGUGUAUUUGUUCAUUGAACAAAUCACUACCGAGCACCUAUUAUGAGUCAAACACUGCUUUGCAUGCUGGGAAUAUAUUAACAGACAAAAAGUUCCUGUCUCAUGGAAAUUAAAUCCUAACACAAUAGACAAGUAAUAGAUAAGUAAUGAAAUAGAGCAAGACCUUAUGGUCUUUCCCCCCGGCCAUGUUCUCAGCCUGCCUUCUGUCUGUGGAAAAACUUUAGCCAAAGAAUAAGUUUAACCAGAGAAGUGAGAAAAUGCAGAAAUGAAGGAAAGCAGUCAGAGGAGACCAAAUAAUAACAAUAAUGUAGUCACUAAGCAUAAUCAAAGACCUUUCGUUCCUCCUCAAGGGCUGCAGAUAACAUUCUGAGCUAUAUCCUGUCAGCUGUGUCAGAGAUGCUGAAACCCCCGCCAAGUGGAGAAGUUAGCCACGUGAUGACCAGACUAUAGCCAUGACAUAAGCAGCCACCGUUUCGAGAACUGGCCUCAAGGAAAUGGGAACAAACUCACCCCAGAAAUGAAGAUUAGUUGUACUUAAAACAAUCACGCUGACACUGGUCAAACCACAGAUGACCAAUCUCAAGAUGACUGUCAGAGCGGACUGUGCCAUUUCUGCACGUAGCCCUCUCUCUCUGUCUAUAAAAGCUCUUACUCCCUGAUUGCUGGGGAGAAGUUGGCAUCCACCCUCCCCCUCCCUGUUACUAGCAUCCAGAAUAAAGCGAGCUUCCCUUUCCACCAAUCCAGCUGCUUUAAUAGCUUUUGAGUGGUGAGCAGUUGGACCGUGGUUCAGUAGUAGUAUGAUAUAAAUGAUGGUAGACAGUGAUGCAUCCUAAGGAGAAAAAAAACAAGCAGGUAAAGGGAAUAUUGGGAGGAUUGAAAUCUGACCUGAAGAUACCUCACCAAGAAGGAGGCUUUUGAUUAAAAAGCCCAAAGAAGUGAGGGAGGGAUGUGUGAAGCUGUUUGGAAGAAAAUAAUCCUCUAUAUAUAAGAUGCCCUAUAUUCUCUGACUAAGAUGCCCUCUAGGACCAAAUAAUUCUUCCUGGCAGAAAUGGCCAGUCUUUUUGUCCUGCAGUUCAUCCUUGGUUUCUCGUCCUAUAUCACAUUUCUUAGCAGAUUUUUUUCCCCCCAAAGAUAGCAGACUAGAGCUUUCUUGCAGAAGUGUUACGAGGUGAUCCCAGUUUUAAGUGAUAAGUGGAUCGCUCAGCUUGAGAUUUAUAACAUGAGGGAGAAUGGGACACAUAGGCUACCCACUUUCUCUUGGGAGGCAUUGGCAGGAAAAAUGUGGUUAGCCUUCUGAUGGGCAGAUUUGUGGAGCAAUCUGUCUCUGCCUGAGGCCACUGGCUAGAGAAAGAGCCCAGGUAUUAGCCAGAAGAGAAGAACUCAACCCAAGUGAAAAUGAGCAACUUUUUUUAUGACCAGGUACCUGCUUGUCUGGGGAAUCUGACUAGCAUUUUAUAUACUCCCUCAACAUAAAUCUUAUCUCUUCUGAUUAUCAGUUGGAUAACCUGAGGCAGAUUAUUUAAUCUCUCUGAGGUUUGCUUUUCAUCUGGAAAAUAAGUAUGAUAAUAGUCGCUGCCUCAUAAGGAUGAUAUUGGGAAUUAAAUUGAGACCAUGGAGGUAAAGUGUCUGUAACAUAGUUAAGUAGUUAGUGAAUAAAGACACUGUCACCACCAGCAUCAUUAUCAUCACCAUAGCUACUACCAUCAUCUUUAUCACCACCACCAAACUCACCAUCACCAUGACAACCACCAUUACCACGACCACCUUCAUCAUCAGUGUCAACACCACCAUCGUCAUCUCUAUCACCCACCACCAUCAUCAUCAUCAGUGUCAACACCACCAUCGUCAUCUCUAUCACCCACCACCAUCAUCAUCAUCAGUGUCAACACCACCAUCGUCAUCUCUAUCACCCACCACCAUCAUCAUCAUCAGUGUCAACACCACCAUCGUCAUCUCUAUCACCCACCACCAUCAUCAUCAUCACUGGCAGUACCACCAUGAUCAUCAUCUCUAUCACCACCACCACCAUUUCUAGGGCUUAACAGGGAACAGCACCAAGUUCAAGGACAAGCAGGCAUUACUGAGUGCAUCUUUAAAAGACUUCUCAGUAUCUCACAGCCCACGGUACUGAAGAUUCAACAGAGAGGCUGCCUAAAAUUGGUAAUCUUCAAGGCAAGGGAAGCAUAAAACCACUGCAAGCUCCAAGUAGGUAGUAGAGGGUUAAGGAUUUCCAGGAAGGGUGGUGGUUUACAAAUGGGAUUCCUUGGCACCAGUGACGGGGGAGGAGGAGGAAAUGGAGCCAUUUGAGGACAAUCAAAGGCACCUGCGGAACAGGCUAAGGUGCCGAUGCUGACCAGGGAGCUGCUCGGUGGAAAUAUCUGUGAAGAGGUGCAGACGCCUGCUGUGAGAAGCACCAGGGGCCCGAUAACCUCGCAUGGCUUCAUUUGUGUCUCUUUGGCCCCAGUGUGUUCUCAGUUGCAUGGAAACAACCAUAGUUGACGACCAAAUCUUUCAGCUACAAAUCCACCUCACAGUAUAAAGAGAGCUAAACACGUAAGUAUUCAGCUAUCUCUAAAAAUAACAUGUUAGUUUUCUCUUUUGUUGAGAGGCUCUACGUAACAGUUUACAACACUAACUGGUCAGGCCAAAAUGACAUGGGUUUGAAUCCUGGCUCUGUUUUACCACGUGUGUGAGAUUAGAUGAGUUCUGAAAUUCCUUGCAUCUAAAUGUUCUCAUUUGGGCAGUGGAAAUCGUAGUAUCUACCCAUUAGGGUACUUAUGGAGAGUAAAUGGGAUGAUACAUACAAAACACUCAGCGUGGUGCUCAGCACACAGUAAAUACACAUUACUGAUUAUCAUCGAAGAUUUCUGGCUGGAUUGUUUUCUGGUAAGGUAAAUGGGGAAGGAGAAUAUAAAUGUAGUGAAGGAGAAAGGGAAGAAGAGGAGACAUGAAAAAGAGAGUCAGGAUGUGAAAAGCUUAUCUUGGAAGAGAGGCAUUUAAUGACUGUCAAGAAAGUCCUGAGAGAGAAAAAGGAUAAAGAUGGCAGGGACUCAAAGGCAGAGAAUUAGUUUUGCUUUCUUGCCAAGGUUUCAUCCAUCUGCUCUUGGCUUCUGUGCUGACUUUUCCCGCCAAAUGGCAGCUCUAGAAAUCUAGUGGUGAAACCCAGGGCAGGGAGACAGACCAUUUCGGGAUCACCCUAAACUUUUGUUCUUAGGGGAGUCAUAAACGAAAUGUAUAUACUAUUCUUUUGCAGUAUGGAAUUUCUUUGAGACUAAUAGAAGAGACAGGCCUUCAAGUAAGUCAGCAGUGACCACAGGCAGACAUAAUCCUAUCACUUUUUGGCUGACAGCUCAUGCAGAGAAAAAACUCUCUGAUCCAGACAAAGUGUGAAGUUUGGCUGGUCUGAAUCCACUUUGAUGGCUUUUUGAAUCUUAAUCAACUACAAAAUCAAGGCAAAAUUGCAGUUCUGAAAUGAAUUUUCAUUAUGAUUUCUUCUGAUGUGACUUUACAAACCAACAGUUUAAGAAACCAAGUUGAAGCGUGGAUCUGAAUAUCAGAAUGUAGGGCACGCUUAAGAGGAAGAUCAAAAUGCAAUUUUGACAUUACAAAAAACUAGCUCGACCCUGAAGAAUAACUGCUUUUAUAAAAUUAAAUAUGAAUUGAAGUCAUGUGUAUGAUCCACCCCAUCUGUUCAGCAUACAUGCAUAUUGCAAAUGUAUACAUUUUUUUAGCAAAGAAGGGAAAUGUGCUUAUUUCACAUUUUUGCUAAAUUACUUCCUAAGAUGUUAUAUCCUAGAGCUCUGGGAUGGCUAUGACUGGAAUUUGCCUGCUUUUGUUUCUAACUUAAGCACAGCCUGGCGGCCUGUGCAGAAUUUAACUUUCCAGAUAUGGGAUCACCUUGGGGCAGCUGACUUCUAUUAAUACAAAGCACAGGAGACACUUAUUUCUGUGUUCAGACUUCUCUCACGUAAUCUGCACUUUUCUUCACCUGUCCAAGGUGCUUCUUCCUUGGAGUUCUGCAGCUGAGGUCCAUGGUCCACCCCUUGGUGGGUGCAGCUGAAGUGGCUCAUCCCUGGCAUUGCCCAGCCAGCCACAUGGCUCGUUUAACCAUGGGCUUGAGGUACAGUCCAGUGUGAGACCCGGAGGAAAGGGAGGCUUCUGUCUGAAGUUCAGGAUUAAAUACUUUCCUUUAAGAGUUGGGAUUUUGCCCUUUAGAGCUGCAUGUAUCAAUACCCCAAAGCAAUUUUCUUGGACGCAUUUUGCUUUGAAUUUGAAAUAUGCUUUUGAAGCUUUUUAUUUAAUAAGGCACAAGCAUAGGCACAAGACUACAUUCAUUAUUUAGACUAGAACUUCUUUUGCACAUGAUGUAAGGAAAAAAAAAAAAAGCUGGCAUGCGUGUUCAGGGUAAUUGCAUAGAUUGAAAUGAACCCAAUUUCUGUAAAGGAUU